CCCUUCGCUAAAGCCCCGCAGCGGGGCUCUUUAUAUCCAGCAUCUCUAUUGGCUGAGGGGAGCCGCAGUUCAGCCAAUGAGAGGUGGUUUUAUUGGCCUGCUGGGCUCUAGGGGCCUGGGAGGAGGUUGCCGUGGAGACUGCAGACCUAUUUGUGACUGGCCCUGGCACCUGAUUCUAGUGGGAGACAGCACUGAAUCUCGCGGAACAUGAUCCGAAUUGCAGCAUUGAAUGCCAGCUCCACAAUUGAGGAUGACCAUGAAGGUACCUUCAAAAGUCAC
rnacentral:lncRNA from 1 species